UACAGAGGGGGCAAGCGUUGUUCGGAAUUACUGGGCGUAAAGCGCACGUAGGCGGAUCUUUAAGUCAGGGGUGAAAUCCUGGAGCUCAACUCCAGAACUGCCUUUGAUACUGAGGAUCUUGAGUCCGGGAGAGGUGAGUGGAACUGCGAGUGUAGAGGUGAAAUUCGUAGAUAUUCGCAAGAACACCAGUGGCGAAGGCGGCUCACUGGCCCGGUACUGACGCUGAGGUGCGAAAGCGUGGGGAGCAAACAGG
rnacentral:rRNA from 1 species